AUUGAACGCUGGCGGCAGGCCUAACACAUGCAAGUCGAGCGGAGCGGCGGACGGGUGAGUGAUGCCUAGGAAUCUGCCUGGUCGUGGGGGAUAACGUCCGGAAACGGGCGCUGAUGCCGCAUACUCUCAGCUGAGCCUAGGUCGGAGUAGCUAGUUGGUGGGGUAAAGGCCUACAAAGGCGACGAUCCGUAACUGGUCUGAGAGGAUGAUCAGUCACACUGGAACUGAGACACGGCCCAGACUCCUACGGGAGGCAGCAGUGGGGAAUAUUGGACAAUGGGCGAAAGCCUGAUCCAGCCAUGCCGCGUGUGUGAAGAAGGUCUUCGGAUUGUAAAGCACUUUAAGUUGGGAGGCGUUACCAACAGAAUAAGCACCGGCUAACUUCGUGCCAGCAGCCGCGGUAAUUC
rnacentral:rRNA from 1 species